UACAGAGGGUGCAAGCGUUGUUCGGAAUUACUGGGCGUAAAGCGUGCGCAGGCGGUUUUGUAAGCCAGGUGUGAAAUCCCCGGGCUCAACCCCGGGCCUGCAGCCGAUACGGGCAGACUAGAGUUCGGCAGGGGAGACUGGAAUUCCUGGUGUAGCGGUGAAAUGCGCAGACAUCAGGAGGAACACCGGUGGCGAAGGCGGGUCUCUGGGCCGAUACUGACGCUGAGGAGCGAAAGCGUGGGGAGCGAACAGG
rnacentral:rRNA from 1 species